AACGUAGGACGCAAGCGUUAUCCGGAUUUACUGGGCGUAAAGCGCGUGCAGGCGGCUUGUUAAGUCGUGCGUGAAAGCUCCCUGGCUCAACCGGGAGAGGUCGUACGAAACUAGCAGGCUAGAGGGCAGCAGAGGAGUGUGGAAUUCCGGGUGUAGUGGUGAAAUGCGUAGAUAUCCGGAGGAACACCAGUGGCGAAGGCGGCACUCUGGGCUGUACCUGACGCUAAGACGCGAAAGCAUGGGUAGCGAACGGGAUUAGAAACCCCGGUAGUCCAUGCCGUAAACGAUGUGCACUAGGCGUAGGGGUGUCACAACCGCUGUGCCGAAGCUAACGCGAUAAGUGCACCGCCUGGGGACUACGGCCGCAAGGCUAAA
rnacentral:rRNA from 1 species